rnacentral:rRNA from 1 species
CUAGCGACUUCAGAGUUUGAUCCUGGCUCAGGAUGAACGCUAGCGGCAGGCUUAACACAUGCAAGUCGAGGGGCAGCAUAAACAUUGCUUGCAAUGUUUGAUGGCGACCGGCGCACGGGUGCGUAACGCGUAUGUAACCUACCUCAAACAGGGGCAUAACACUGAGAAAUUGGUACUAAUUCCCCAUAACACCUGAUAGGGCAUCCUAAUGGGUUGAAAGUUCCGGCGGUUUGAGAUGGACAUGCGUUGUAUUAGCUAGUUGGUGAGGUAACGGCUCACCAAGGCGACGAUACAUAGGGGGACUGAGAGGUUAACCCCCCACAUUGGUACUGAGACACGGACCAA